AGCCAAGAUGGUCGGGCUGUGAGAGGUAGGCAGGGGAGCCUGCUCGGGCGGGAUCCUGAUGGAGGCCGUCUUUUUCGUCGGCAGUGGACGAAAUCACAGUGACAAGAGAGUCAGGAUGCCCCACUAGGGCAGGCUCCAAGGCGGUUGCAGGACACCUCUGUCUUCCCGUUGAAGGGGCUGUCAGUAAAUGGCCCUGGGCCUGUGAGAGCGCCGCAGGCUUCCUGGAGGAGAAAGCCCGUGGUUGGCUCUCCUCACACCUUCACCAGACGAAGAUGGCUGAAUCCGAAGCCACUGGUGACGGAGUGUGGUGAAUUAAAACGGAGCAACUUCCCCUGAGGCCAGCUGGAGGCAGAACGGGAAGAUGCCUGAGAGAAGGGGACCCUGCAAAGGAACAGAUGAGAGUGUCGAGAGUUGUGUUUUGAAGAUGAAGCAACUCGCGAAGGGACAUAAAACUUAGCAGAAAGAGGACACACACAAGCAAGUAAGAAAGAAAAAAAAAGGACGAG